rnacentral:rRNA from 1 species
CCUACGGGAGUCUGCAGUGAGGAAUAUUGGUCAAUGGGCGCGAGCCUGAACCAGCCAAGUAGCGUGAAGGAUGACUGCCCUACGGGUUUUAAACUUCUUUUAUAAAGUAAUAAAGUGAUACACGUGUGCCUUUUUGUAUGUACUUUAUGAAUAAGGAUCGGCUAACUCCGUGCCAGCAGCCGCGGUAAUACGGAGGAUCCGAGCGUUAUCCGGAUUUAUUGGGUUUAAAGGAAGAGUAGAUGGGUUGUUAAGUCAGUUGUGAAAGUUUGCGGCUCAACCGUAAAAUUGCAAUUGAUACUGGCAGUCUUGAGUACAGUUGAGGUAGGCGGAAUUCGUGGUGUAGCGGUGAAAUGCUUAGAGAUCACGAAGAACUCCGAUGGCGAAGGCAGCUUACUAAACUGCCACUGACAUUGAUGCUCGAAAGUGUGGGUAUCAAACAGGAUUAGAUACCCCAGUAGUC